GACGAACGCUGGCGGCGUGCUUAACACAUGCAAGUCGAACGAAGAGCGAUGGAAGCUUGCUUCUAUCAAUCUUAGUGGCGAACGGGUGAGUAACGCGUAAUCAACCUGCCCUUCAGAGGGGGACAACAGUUGGAAACGACUGCUAAUACCGCAUACGAUCUGACCUCGGCAUCGAGGAUAGAUGAAAGGUGGCCUCUAUUUAUAAGCUAUCACUGAAGGAGGGGAUUGCGUCUGAUUAGCUAGUUGGAGGGGUAACGGCCCACCAAGGCGAUGAUCAGUAGCCGGUCUGAGAGGAUGAACGGCCACAUUGGGACUGAGACACGGCCCAGACUCCUACGGGAGGCAGCAGUGGGGAAUCUUCCGCAAUGGACGAAAGUCUGACGGAGCAACGCCGCGUGAGUGAUGACGGCCUUCGGGUUGUAAAGCUCUGUUAAUCGGGACGAAAGGCCUUCUUGCGAAUAGUUAGAAGGAUGGACGGUACCG
rnacentral:rRNA from 1 species